CCUACGGGAGACAGCAGUGGGGAAUAUUGCACAAUGGGGGAAACCCUGAUGCAGCGACGCCGCGUGAGUGAAGAAGUAAUUCGUUAUGUAAAGCUCUAUCAGCAGGGAAGAAAAUGACGGUACCUGAGUAAGAAGCCCCGGCUAACUACGUGCCAGCAGCCGCGGUAAUACGUAGGGGGCAAGCGUUAUCCGGAUUUACUGGGUGGAAAGGGAGCGUAGACGGCAGUGCAAGUCUGGAGGGAAAGGCGGGGGCUCAACCCCCGGACUGCUCUGGAAACUGUACGGCUGGAGUGCAGGAGAGGUAAGUGGAAUUCCUAGUGUAGCGGUGAAAUGCGUAGAUAUUAGGAGGAACACCAGUGGCGAAGGCGGCUUACUGGACUGUAACUGACGUUGAGGCUCGAAAGCGUGGGGAGCAAACAGGAUUAGAUACCCCGGUAGUC
rnacentral:rRNA from 1 species